ensembl:snoRNA SNORA61 small nucleolar RNA, H/ACA box 61
AUCCUCUGGUUCCCUUUCACAUCAGAUCUGAACCUGGUCUUGGUGAUCGUACAAGGAGGGAAAGGAACACUGAAGCUGGUCUCUGGUUGUGUAGCCUGGCUGCACCUGGGGCUGGUUUCAGACACCC